GGGUGAGGGUCAGGCUUCGGGGAAGGGUUAGGGUUAGGGUUCGGGCUAAGGUUAGUGUUAGGGGACAGGGACGGUUUAGGGUCCAGGUGAGGGUACGACAACGCUUUAGGGGGAGCGUGCGUGUGAGGGCGCGGGUUAGUGUUAGCGUACGGGUUAGGAUUAGGGGACGGGUGAGGGUCAGGCUUCGGGGAAGGGUCAGGGUUAGGGUUCGGGCUAGGGUUAGGGUUAGGGGACGGGGACGGUUUAGGGUCCAGGUGAGGGUACGACAACGCUUUAGGGGGAGCGUGCGUGUGAGGGCGCGGGUUAGUGUUAGCGUACGGGUUAGGAUUAGGUGACGGGUGAGGGUCAGGCUUCGGGGAAGGGUUAGGGUUAGGGUUCGGGCUAGGGUUAGGGGUAGGGGACGGGGACGGUUUAGGUUCCAGGUGAGGGUACGACAAUGCUUUAGGGGGAGCGUGCGUGUGAGGGCGUGGGUUAGUGUUAGCGUACGGGUUAGGAUUAGGGGACGGGUGAGGGUCAGGCUUCUGGGAAGGGUUAGGGUUAGGGUUCGGGCUAGGGUUAGGGUUAGGAGACGGGGACGUUUUAGGG